rnacentral:lncRNA from 1 species
AAAAAGAAAAAAAAAAGAAGAAAAUUAGGAGAAACAAGAUUUCUAAGGGCUAGAAAGUAUAAUAGGUGAGAAGAUGUCAACUGACAGCAGUGCCUAAUUAGUUGUCGGCAUUGUGCGGCCUGUGGUGGUGAGUUAGCAUCACCAGUUUCAAAACCAUCAUAUCUUUUGGUGACUAAAAGCUAAUGCAGCCUCAUCCUCUCCCUUCUUUCAACCACGAUUUCAGGCUCC